UUUCUUCGGAGAUAGAGACCGGCGCACGGGUGCGUAACGCGUAUGCAAUCUACCUUUUACAGAGGGAUAGCCCAGAGAAAUUUGGAUUAAUACCUCAUAGYAUUAUGAAAUGGCAUCAUUUUAUAAUUAAAGUCACAACGGUAAAAGAUGAGCAUGCGUCCCAUUAGCUAGUUGGUAAGGUAACGGCUUACCAAGGCUACGAUGGGUAGGGGUCCUGAGAGGGAGAUCCCCCACACUGGUACUGAGACACGGACCAGACUCCUACGGGAGGCAGCAGUGAGGAAUAUUGGACAAUGGGCGCAAGCCUGAUCCAGCCAUGCCGCGUGCAGGAUGACGGUCCUAUGGAUUGUAAACUGCUUUUGCACAGGAAGAAACACUCGGUCGUGACCGAGCUUGACGGUACUGUGAGAAUAAGGAUCGGCUAACUCCGUGCCAGCAGCCGCGGUAAUACGGAGGAUCCAAGCGUUAUCCGGAAUCAUUGGGUUUAAAGGGUCCGUAGGCGGUUUAGUAAGUCAGUGGUGAAAGCCCAUCGCUCAACGGUGGAACGGCCAUUGAUACUGCUAGACUUGAAUUAUUAGGAAGUAACUAGAAUAUGUAGUGUAGCGGUGAA
rnacentral:rRNA from 1 species